rnacentral:rRNA from 1 species
UACGUAGGCAGCAAGCGUUGUUCGGAGUUACUGGGCGUAAAGGGUGCGUAGGCGGCUUUUUAAGUCUUGGUGUGAAAUCUCCCGGCUCAACUGGGAGGGUGCGCCGGAUACUGAGGGGCUAGAGUGUGGGAGAGGAAAGUGGAAUUCCUGGCGUAGCGGUGAAAUGCGUAGAUAUCAGGAGGAACACCGGUGGUGUAAACGCUUUCUGGACCAUAACUGACGCUGAGGCACGAAAAGCGUGGGUAGCAAACAGG